rnacentral:lncRNA from 1 species
GAGUAUGGGAUUUGACAGCGCGCAUUUGCCGAAAGUGCGGCGCGUCGUUUCCAGGCUGAUUUGCCGCGUGUCUUUUUCGGGAAUAGGCGCAAUACUAAAUUUUCAACAAAACAAAGUGGCAUUUCAUUUGCCAAAAUUUCUGUUGAUUUGACAACCGAAAUUUUAUUCAAUCAUCUGUCAAAAUAACAAAAAAACACCAAUUUUUUGCUGAAAUUCUGUAAAGAUAAAGUUUAUGCAAAACAUUUUUAAUAAAAACUAGUGGUAAGCCUCGAGGCAUUUGUUUUUCAAAUGUCUCUUACCUUUGUUGCUUAAGAUAACUAGAAAAAUAAUUUAAAAUCGAACCAAACACACUUAAAAGUUGAUUUUCACUCCAGCAGCAUCCAUGCAGAGAGAAAAUUGUUAACACUUUUGAAAGCAAAUAUACUGAUAAUAAAAAUGUGAUAAGAAAAUACAUACUAACCAAAGUUUGGACAAUUUUGGAGGUUUUUUGUUCUUUACUUGCUAAAUUAAAUGGCAAUGAAUUGUUUAAAAAAAAGUACAAUUUGUAGAGUUCCGUUCAACUAUGCUAAGAACGGAACUCUACAAAUUGUACAUAGUUUUGAAGUGGUAUUUCAGGAUACCUUUUUCCAUGUGAGCUGUAGAAUUUUGAAAUUUUGUUUCGAGAUCUCUAAUAUUGUAUUUGAUUUAGAUAAAACUUUGUCCAUGCAUUUCCUUUGUCAAAAUAAAUAUUACAAUUUUCACUUCAAACAAAAUGCAAUUAUAUUUUAAAUUACCUCAUCUAAUGUUUUUAUUUCGAUUAGGCCAUAAGAAAUUCAAUUCAAAAUUCUAACAUGUGUUUAUCACAGCAAACUAACAACACGCUUAGUCGGAACUCACGUGAGUGGGUAAGUUUAGCAGAAGAAAUAUCAAACGAUACUGAUUUAAACACAAGCAAAAAAAUCUACCGUUUGUUGAUUAGUAAGCAAAAUAUUAAAAUCAAAAUAGCAACCGAAUUCCCUGAAUUGCCGUGGCAAAAUUAUUGGCAGAAUAUACAAUCGAAUUUCAUUUCCUCUGAAGAAAAGCAUUCGCUAUUCAUCAUGCUCAAUGAUCUUAAUCCAACAAAAGCAAAACUUUUUCGCCAUAAGGUUAGGGAUACUAAUACAAAUUUGUGUGAAUAUUGUAAAAAGUUAGAUACAUCAAAGCAUCGUAUAAAGUUAUGUAGCAGCAGUAGAAUAGUUUGGAAUAGCGUAAAAACAACUAUAAUUAGAAAACUAGGCUUAGACAUUGUAGACCCUGAGGAAUUGCUAGGGAAAACGUUUAAAAAUGAAAAAGAAAAAUUAGGUUUGUGGUUAGUAGUUGAAGCAAUUGCCUACAAUUUGAAAAACUUUGGAAAUGGUACAGUAGCAGAUUUUGAAUGUAAAGUUAGGGACACGCAGAAAAAUUAGGCCUAUUUGAAUCAACAAAAUAUUUUGUUGUUUCAAGUUAACGAUUUUUUGUUGAAAUAAAUCUCAAAACCAAUUGAAACAACUCUAAAUUUAGAGUUGAAUUUACUCUGUGUUUUUUGUCAAUUCGUUUUGGAAAUAUUAACAAAAUUAUUGCGUUGAUUCUACCAUGAACGACGUUGAAUCAACUUUAAUGUGUUUUUUGAUUCAAAUGAAAUUAAUUGAUAUUCACACGUGUUGCUAUCUGUCAAAAUGUUCAGUUUUCCUGAUUUUGAUCAGUGGCGAAGUUCGUUUAAUUCGUCCGUGCGGCAAUUACGUUCGUGGUAUUUCAUCCAUGUAUUACGCCUGCCGUGAGCAAAGUUUUACGUGAGAAGUUAGAGCGCGGAAUUCGGGGUGAUUUGAUCGCCACCCAACUAAGCCAACUCAUCAUCGACAAGCGGAAGCUGCCACCAAGUUUAGCAGACUUCACAAAAUUCCCCAACAUAUCAACCCUCUACGGAACAUGACCGACCUCUGCAGAAAACAACGUAACCUCGAUCCACCGGGGACGCCAAUGGCAACAUGGCCAAUUCAACAUGGAAGGCAAUUUCACCAACUCGUUGUUUCAUCAGACGGUGGCGGAGGCAAGGACACAAGGUGCGGUUCAGCAGUACUCGGACAGAACAAGGGGAAACACUCUAAGUAGCAGAUUUAAAAAUAUAUUUUUCCAAUAAAAAAUGCUAAUAUCGAUGAA